GUGAAUAACACGACACAUACUAAAACUGAAAUGAUACAGAGAAGAAUAGUAUUGUCCCUGUGAAAGGAUGAUGUACUGAUUCGUGAAGUGUUCUGGUUUUUU